rnacentral:rRNA from 1 species
GAUGAACGCUGGCGGUAUGCUUAACACAUGCAAGUCGAACGGAGUACUUCGGUACUUAGUGGCGGACGGGUGAGUAACGCGUGAGAAUCUGCCUUCAGGUUCGGGACAACCACUGGAAACGGUGGCUAAUACCGAAUGUGCAGCGAUGUGAAAAAUUUAUUGCCUGAAGAUGAGCUCGCGUCUGAUUAGCUAGUAGGUGUGGUAAGAGCGCACCUAGGCGACGAUCAGUAGCUGGUCUGAGAGGAUGAUCAGCCACACUGGGACUGAGACACGGCCCAGACUCCUACGGGAGGCAGCAGUGGGGAAUUUUCCGCAAUGGGCGAAAGCCUGACGGAGCAAUACCGCGUGAGGGAGGAAGGCUCUUGGGUUGUAAACCUCUUUUCUCAAGGAAGAAAAAAAUGACGGUACUUGAGGAAUAAGCAUCGGCUAACUCCGUGCCAGCAGCCGCGGUAAUACGGAGGAUGCAAGCGUUAUCCGGAAUGAUUGGGCGUAAAGCGUCCGCAGGUGGCUGUGUAAGUCUGCUGUUAAAUAGUGAGGCUCAACCUCAUAAAGGCAGUGGAAACUACACGGCUAGAGUGCGUUCGGGGCAGAGGGAAUUCCUGGUGUACCGGUGAAAUGCGUAGAGAUCAGGAAGAACACCGGUGGCGAAAGCGCUCUGCUAGGCCGCAACUGACACUGAGGGACGAAAGCUAGGGGAGCGAAUGGGAUUAGAUACCCCAGUAGUCCUAGCCGUAAACGAUGGAUACUAGGCGUGGCUUGUAUCGACCCGAGCCGUGCCGUAGCUAACG